UCAUUUUUUCCUCCGUUUUUCUUAUUCUUCUUCCUAUCUCUAAUCUUCUAUUCUUUCUACCAAACGGACAGCAACAGAAAUCAUUGUUUGCCUGCUGAUGAUCAAAGUGGGCUUCGUCCUUAUCUUUUUAGGAGAGAGAAAUAGCGGCGAAAGGAGAGAGGAAAAAAGUUCGAUAGUUUUUGACUCAGACCAGCUCAGAUAUAAUCCUCCGAAAGUGGAUUUGAUUUUUUUUUGAUAUGGUUCGGGUAGGGUUUGGGUACCGGGUCAAGUUUUAUGAUCGGAUCGGGUCAAGUCAUUUUUCUGUUGGUUCAUGAUAAUUUCACUGGUUUAGGCUUUAUGCUGGAAGUUCUCGGUAGAUUUGACGGUCAUCGGCAGCGAUCUCUUUGUUUGAUGGUUUUCGGUCGUUGAUUUGGAUCAGCAGAUCACUGGCUGUGUUAGCUUGUUGUUUGUAGUUAUCGUUGGCGUGUUUUUCAUUUGUUGUUUGUAAACCAUUGAUGUUGUCUCCACUGGUUUCUGUGGAAUCUGUCUUCAGAAUCGGUUACUUAUAUAUCAGUCUGGCUUCUUUAGUUGUCUGAAAUAUGGAUGCUAGUUGUUCUUUAGGAUUUGUUCCGGGGAUUUCCAAUUAGUAUGGAUUUCCAAUUAGUAUUCUGUAAGAAGCUUGUCCGUUUAUGGGUCACUGUUACGGCAACGGGUUUACUUGUUUUGGGGUCCUGUAACGUUGCUCGCUAGAGCUUUCGUUAAUGAAAUAUAUCCCUUUGUUAAAAAAAAAAA